rnacentral:rRNA from 1 species
AGUGUAAGCAUGGCAACAUGUUGAGCGGACUGAUACUAAUAGGUCGAGGGCUUGACCAG